GAGGGCUGGAAGGUGCAACGAAUUCAUCAAGGUCAAUUCCGUCGGCGAUCCGAGUGGCAGCUGCAAGGAAAGUUUCCAUAAAGGACCUGAAGUCGUGCUUCUUGGUAUUGGCCACCCGAAGGGCCGCCAGCUUCUCCUCUCGCGCAUCUUUGCAGUGGACUCGGGCCAGACACAAAGCGACAUCUGCACCACACCGAGCCGAGGACUUCUUCCACUCCUGCACUCGACCAGGGAUCGUGUUCAAGCGGGCCAUCAGCGACUCAAGGUCAUUCUGAAGUGUCUCCUCAGGCCAGAGCGUCGAGUCGAUGCGCGAUGUGGCAGCCUUCAGCUUUGCGAGAUAGUCCACGACAGCUGCAACACGGGACUCCAGUCGGAAAACUUCCAUGGCAACUUCGUCGUUCACCGGAGAAUUGACGGGGUCGAGGUUUGGCUCCAGCCGGCUAGUUUCUUCUUCAAAGUUUUGACAAAAUUCUGCAAGGAUGAUCACUAAGUCAAGGGGAUGGUCGAAUGGAAAAACCACAAUUGGAAAUGUCUGCCAAGCAUAGAGGUUUACCUUCAAGCAUAAGAAACAGCUUCUUGGCAAGUCCACUCAGGAAGGCCUCCAGAUCAGUUUUCUUCCCAGUCAAUUUGCUGACUUGGUCGGUCAGGGCAGCUUUAUAAGUUUUCAGUCGACUGACCUCCUUGUUGGCAAUCCCAAGAGCAGCUUUCAGAUUGGCAUUGUCUUGUUCAAGCUUGGUGACUGAAGCUAACUUCUCGUCGGCAAGCUUGAUCUUCUCAGCUAGCUCAAGGUCUUUCUUCUGCUGGGCCUCCC
rnacentral:rRNA from 1 species